rnacentral:rRNA from 1 species
AGGGUUCGAUUCUGGCUCAGGAUGAACGCUAGCGACAGGCUUAACACAUGCAAGUCGAGGGGCAGCAUAAAAGUAGCAAUACUUGGUGGCGACCGGCGCACGGGUGAGUAACGCGUAUGCAACCUACCUAUCAGAGGGGAAUAACCCGGCGAAAGUCGGACUAAUACCGCAUAAAACAGGGGCACCGCAUGGUGAUAUUUGUUAAAGAAAUUCGCUGAUAGAUGGGCAUGCGUUCCGUUAGGUAGUUGGUGAGGUAACGGCUCACCAAGCCGACGAUGGAUAGGGGAACUGAGAGGUUGGUCCCCCACACUGGUACUGAGACACGGACCAGACUCCUACGGGAGGCAGCAGUGAGGAAUAUUGGUUAAUGGGCGGGAGCCUGAACCAGCCAAGUCGCGUGAAGGAAGAAGGAUCUAUGGUUCGUAAACUUCUUUUGCAGGGGAAUAAAGUGCAGGACGUGUCCUGUUUUGUAUGUACCCUGAGAAUAAGGAUCGGCUAACUCCGUGCCAGCCGCCGC